CAUCAGUAUAAGGGAGAGUUUGUAGCGGAAUACAGGGUGAGAUGAGGUCUUGAUCAUCGAUUGUCAGAUGAGUGAAGGUUGGUGUUGCUUGGUCUACAGUUUUCUGCAGGAAUUUCCUUAGGCAUGGGAGGACACAACAAAUGAGAAGAGCGAGAAUAAAAAGAAAAAUUAGUAAGACAAUACCAAUCUGGACUAAAGCUCUCUGCCAACCAGUCAUCCAACCAAACCAUUUUUCCCAGGGAUCAGUAACUCCAGAGUUUCUCUUUAACUCUUCUGAGAGUCUAUUUAAUUUAGCUAUGGCCAGAGUGACUUUACCAUUAGGACCUGUGUUUUCUGGGAUAUAAGUGCAACAAGUCAUAGUGUCGGGAAGUAUUUUACAGACCCCCCUUUUUUUCGGCUAAGAUCAUGUCUAAGGCCAGUCUGUUCUGGAAGGUCAUUUGGGAUGUGGCCUGUAAUUGCUCGGCCAAGCCCUGGAGGGCAUCCCUGGUGUAGUUCACGAAGCGCUGUUGGUUGUAAUAAAUGUAGUUAAUCCAAUUAAGGUUUUUGUUGGCAGUGACUAUGGUAAAAAGUGAUUCAAAACCUGCAGCUACUUCAUCUCUAGCUUUAAAUUCAUUAGGUACCCCCCUAGGCACCCCAAUGGCAUCUAUGUAAAUGUGGGGGUCAAAACUGCCUUUUACUGGGGUUUCGCACCUUACUCUGGCUGGUGUAUGUGGAGGGUCGUAUGUGUCAUGUUGAUUAUCAGAAAUAAUAUGAAUGGGCAUGAUAACUUUGGCCAGGGUACACUCACCCCACCACUCAGUUUCCAGCCUAGAUCUUAACUGUAGAUCCCCACAUAACCAGUAAAUAUCCCCCAAUGACCUGGUAUGGUGUUGCAACAGGCGUAUAGGAACAGUUCUGUAAGUGGCGCAAUAACCUUUAGAAAAUUACCCAUGAAUUUACCAAUCCCGUCAUACAUGGCAUAACAAGUGUAAUUACCUCUAUAGACUGUGAUUCCAUCUGGUGGCUUAACAUUUUCAACUAAGAGAGGGUAUUCUGCCAUCCAUGCCAUGCAGAGGGACCUAUUAAAGUCAUAUUGGUAGGCAAAAAGGCUUAAGAAGCAAUCUUCUAUCUCUAAAGGGAGAGUUAGGGGGACGGUGCCAGGUUGGGGUCGGGCACCGCCACAUACAUAACAUGCUGUUUUAUUAUGUUUGUUAGCAUUAUACCUCAUCCAUUCUAACCACAAAUUAAUGUCAUUGAAUCCAGUUUCAGCGGCCAUGGUAUCUUCAAAAGUGGGGUUAGCGAUGGCCAUCAUAUCUUUAAAGGACUGGAUAUGUGGUUUUAGCGGAUUAGGGACCAUAUGAUCAGCCCCUUGCCACUCUGGAGAGUGGUACAUAUCUCUGAGGUAGAAAUGACCUAAUUUGUUGUAGGAA